GGAAUGGAAUGAAGAACUUUUAUGAGAAAAAGGGAAAAAAGAAACAAAUAGCCCACUUCAGAUCAACAGAAAGGCGAACAACCACCAAUGCUUUUUUUUCUCCUCUCUUUCCUUUUCAUCUUCUUUGCAGGCACAAAAUACAAAAGCAGAAAGGAAGAACAGAUACGUGCA
rnacentral:RNase_P_RNA from 11 species